rnacentral:lncRNA from 1 species
ACACAAGCUAUCGCUGACUGCCGGUGCAUGUUGGAAAUGGGCCACAGGGCUGGGCAUGAUAUGAGCUGCCUGGACAUUGGAGGGGGCUUCCCCGGAAUGGAGGGCUCCGGGCCCAAGUUUGAGGAGGUGAGCUGGUACGGGCGCUGGGGGUGUUCAGGGAGGUCCGCAUGUGUGCCCAGGCAUGGGUGUGUGUGGGGAGUCUGUGUUCAUGCAUGUACCUCUGUGUGUUUAGGUCUCUCUGGUGUAUCUCUGUGCUCUGUGUGCACAGGUGGGUAUGUGUGUAUGUGCAUGUCUUGGCUUUGAUAUCCCCCAAAAGCAGACUCUGAGACAAACACUUGGAUACAAGUAGUUUUUUUGGAGAUGAUCCGUGGAAGCGCCAAUGAGGAAGUCAGGAAAGAGAGAUAGAAGGGAGAAAAGUCAAAAGAAAAUUCAUCUAUGAGCUGGUUACCACUGUGGGCCGCUGCACCAGUCCCCCUGGGGACAAUGUAGAACCUCAGAAUCAUCCCACUAGAGGACAUGGGGCUGGUCCUUUAUUCACCAACUCCUGUCCUUCUUUGGUUGAAGGCUGUGGUCUGGGGGUGUUAAUUUCCUCACAUUCCAGCUAGUUUCCGAGGGUGCUGGAGAAAGCCCACAGAAUGAGAAGCAAAGGGAGGCAGGCGCUGGAGGCUGGAAAUCAUUUUGCACGGGCAGAUGAGCUCAGGUAGGCUGAGGGGAGGUGGCACAGGGUGUCCACUGCAGCUGCAGCAAGGUGUCUGGGGGCUGUGCCUCUCUGUGUGUCUGUGUGUCUGUAUGUGUAUAUGUUUUCCUGUAGAAUGUAGAAUUCUUGUUAGCAUCACCAAUACAGUUACAGUUACAGUUGGGAGUUUACAUUCCCUGGGUCCACAAGACACUCGCCUUCUUACGGUGCAUCAGAUUAAAUUGCUGCACCUUUGGACUUCUCAGGGAGCCUGGUGGCCAGCAACCCCACACAAGUGACCUCCUGUCUCUCAACUUCUGUUUCCUCUUUGGUAAACAGGGAUAAUUCUAAUGCCUACCUGCAGGGUGCCUCGGGGAUGAAAGGACUGAUGCAGGUAAGGCGUUGGCACAGGCGCUGGCACAUCAACACGUGCUGGAUGAGUUAACCUCUUCCUGCUGUCCCUCCACCCCAUUCCAGUUGGCGAGAGUGAUCAGUGCUGCCCUGGCCCAGGACCUCCCUGAGGAGCGUGGUGUCAAGGUCAUCGCAGAGCCUGGCUGCUUCUAUGUGGAGUCUGUCUGCAUGGCCGCUGUCAACAUCAUUGCCAAGAGGGCUGUGCUGGAGCCCGGUGGGUGGGCCAGGAUGGCACUGGGUGGGGAUGCCACUGUCCAGGUGUCCCCAGGCCCUGGAGGAGAGGAAGGGCAGAGGGUUGGGCUCUGUCCCAGGAGCUGGGGGUCAGAGUAGUGACUGAGCACUCCCCAGGAGGCAGCCGGAAGCUGGUGUAUUAUCUCAAAGAUGGCCACUAUGGCUCCUUCCGCCUCUGCUACCGAGAGCCUGUCCCAAGGGUUCCCAUCGUGGUGAAGGUAAGGGGGCCACUCCAGCCCCGAGUCUAGUCCCUUACCUUGAGGUGCCUUGUGCCUCCCCUACUGGGAACAGUGGCUGUGCUGGACCCCAGAGGCAGGUCCUGGCCUGCUGCUUAGAACACAUGUGGACACGUACAUGAUGUGUGCUCACAGAUCAGAGCGUGUGCAGCAGCUGGAUAUGUAGGCCUCCUCAGGCAAAGGGGCGAUCACCAGAACACAAAGGCGUGGGUUGUUUUCCAAAAUAUUGAAGUUCUUCUCCCUGGUGGCUUAAGAGCCAUUCCUUCUUCCUGGUGGUUAAAGAGCUAUUCCCCCGAGUCCACCAGGGGCCUCCCUGCCGACACUCUUGCUGCUCAGUCCCUCCCACGAUCUGGCAACAAAGCUUCAAUACCUGACCCUGUAGGGCCAACAGGAUCUUCCUCCAGCUCUGCAGCAGUUGUCUCCUAAUGUGAUGGGUUGGUGUCCGGGCCACACUGCUUUGUAAAUAUCUUGACUGUUUCUCCCGGCCAGUGAACGUCUUGGUGUGUGCACACAUUUGGUCAUGUAUGUGACGUGUGUUUGCAUGCAUGUGCGAGUGUGUACGUGUGUGAAGUGUUUCUGGGUGUGUGUCUUCGUGUGUGUAUUUGCCUCUCUUCUCAUCGGAAGGAGUGAGUUCUGGAUGUGGAGGAACCAGUAGGAGACCCUGUGUUUGUUUGGUUCCCACAAUAGUUUUCAAUUUUAGUUGCCCAUAUUAAAAAAUCUAGACAUAUUUCAUAAAAGCCUGGAUUUUCUCAGCUCCUCUCAAACAUUUGAGAGAUCUGAUGAUACGUGGCCUGCAGAACAACAAGGCAACAAAUAAUUCAACAAAUUAGUCUAGCAUGUCAGGCACUGUGAUCUGCUGGAACGGGACUUCCUCAGUGGCUUUCCCCUUUGGACAGACAUUGACUUUCCAGUUUGUUGUAAGACUUACCUGGCCCAUUUCACUCAUUUGUGUUACCUGCUUGACCUCUAGGUAAUUGAGUUUUCAACUGCUGCCUUAUAGCAAUUAUUGAAGACAACAGCCCCACUUACAGAGGAGGAAUCUGAGCCCUUACUUGUAGGCACAUCAGACCUGGCCAGGCUGGGCAGGGGCCAUGGAGGGAUGGGUCCCAGCCAGUAUACACCCGUGUGCCCCUGGGAGUGUCCUUCCGGGUCUUUCAGUGCCUUCCAGAUAAGGGGGUGGGAUAGGCCAGCCUGCUGUCUUUUCUGACCCCCUUUCCUAUGUCACACAGGAGUUCUGCUCAGAGCCGCCCCUCUUCCCCUGCACCCUCUAUGUCCCAUGUGCGAUGCCUUUGACAGGCUCUUCUUGGAGGAUGUGCGGCUGCCCGAGCUGGAUGUAGGCGAUUGGCUGGUCUUCCCCUCCAUGGGUGCCUACAUGUCCUCCAUGAGCUCCAGCUUCAAUGGCUUCCUGCCUGCCACCAUCUGCUACACCAUGGGCCCCCAGCUCAGGUGCCUAGGGGUUGGGGUUGAAGAGGAAGCAGGAAACCUCACACUCAUUUGAGCUUGGGGUGGGAACUGGCCCCAGGGAAUCUCCCUUCCCCUGUUGACUCACUGAAGUCAAAGUGUCCAUCUGACCUUUGGACUCUCAUCUGCCUCUGGCCCCCCUCCCAGGGAGGUGGAGAAUUGCAAAGAGAUCCCCAGGCCCUCUAGCCACUGGCUGGCCCUACUCCUGCUUCAGACGCCCACUGUCCCAGCUCUGCCUCCAGGCCCCAGCUCUGCUGCUGUGUGUGCAGCCUCAGGGCUGUAGGCAAAGGCCUUGACACCCACCCUGUACCCCAUGUCCUUUCCCCAUGAGCCUUCUGGAGGCAGAGCCUUAACCCAGAGCCAGCUAGGCUGGAGGGCUUUAAGACACUCUGGUAGGUAGGCCCCUGGGAACUGUUGGGAGUUGGGAUGGCAGGGAGGAGGCAGAGGUUUGGGUAACUAUGAAAUCCUAUGCAGACCUUCCAAAAAUAUCUUGCUGUCAUUUUGGGUCAGUUCUUUCCUUUUCUCUUUUCAUUUCUUUUCUUUUCUUUUUUCUUUUCUUUCUUUCAUUUUCCUUUCCUUUCCAUUCCUUUCCUUUUUUCUUUCUCUUCUUUCUUUCCUCCCUCCCUUCCUCCAUUCCCUUUCUCUUUCUUUCCUCUCUUUUUGAGACAGAGUCUUACUCUGUCGCCCAGGCUGGAGUGCUGUGGCAUGAUCUCGGGUCACUACAGCCUCGACCCCUCAGGGCUCAGGUGAUCCUCCCACCUCAGCCUCCUGAAUAGCUGGGACUAUAGGUGUGUACCACCACACCCGGCUAAUUUUUAUAUUUUUGGUAGAGAUGGAGUUUUGCCAUGUUGCCCAGGCUGGUCUCGAACUUCUGGGCUCAAGCAAUCCGCCUGCCUCAACCUCCCAAAGUGCCGGCAUUACAGGUGUGAGCCACCGCAUGCCUGUGUCUUCGGUCAGGUCUUACACUGACUUUUCUCAGCAGUGGCCUGCCCUGCCCACCCUCCUUGUCAUUUGCCUCUGCAUCCCUCCUUUCCCACUCUCUUGAGCAGUGGUUGAAGGGGACGCAUUAGAAGCUACUUCUUCUCAGAGCGACUACAAAAAAUGGGCUAUUGAUCUUUUACGUUAAAUAAUGCAGCCCACACACCUGCUCAGUUCAUACCUAGCUGGUGUCAGUUUACAUCCUUAAAUUCAUCCUGCCGCUCCUCCCCGCUUUUUAUUUAUUCAUGCCCUUGCCUUGUCCCAGAAAGCGUUUCUAUAAAAUUCAUCAACAUAUCAUAGUGGUUAAGAGCAUGUCACUGGAAUAAGGAAGAACUGGGCUCAAAUUUAGGCACCACUGCUACUAGCUUUGAAUUUGGGCAGGUUAACUAACAUAGUUGAACUCUAGUUUUCCUUGUAAAAUAGUGGUAAUAAUAAUAACUUUAACUUCCCCGUAGGGUUGUUGGGAUUAAGAGAGGGAUGAAUAUAUCGUUUAGGGCCAGCUUUUCCUUCGGCCACCCUGUUCUUGCUGGCUCUCCUCCUGGAGUCUAGAUGUCACAGAGACCCCACCGUGCAUCCUGGGUCUUUUCAGAGAGUGUUGGUAGGGUGUCCCACUCAGGCCAAGCCAGGAUGUGUGCCCGAUGCUAGGGGGACAGGGGAGGCAGGCACAGACCCAGUCUUUGAGUUGUCCUCAGGCCUGUGGAAAGCUAAAGGCAGGCGCAGCUGGCUGCAGCACAGGGAGGAACAUGGGACAUACUUUGAGGACAGUUCAGGUGGAAGCCAUCCAUUUGGAGGAGUGGGUGGCUUCUUGGAGGGAGAAUGGUGGGACCUGGAGGCAGAGCAGAAUCAGUAGGUAAAAGUGGGUAGGAAGCGUGGCUCAGGUGUGGGAACAACUUGGCUCAGGCAUGGGAAUGAGCCUCUGCUCAGAGAACAGUGAGUGGCCAGGAUUGGAGAUGAGAAACAGAGAUUGCAGAGCCUGGGGACACAAGGUGACCAGUUUGCCUGGAUUUGUCUGGAACAUUCCUGGUGCUAGCACUGUAAAUCCUGAGUCCUAGGAAGCUCCUGAGUCUCAGGCAAACCAGAUGGUUGGGGAGGGAGAGGAGGGAGGGGAGGAGCUCGUCACACCCCAAGGCCACAUUCCUGCAGCUAUAGCAGGUACAGCCAUUGAUUUCUCAGCUUCCAGCUCAGCCAAGGAAGGUGUCUCCCCUCCCUUCAGCAGGGCCUCUCCCACCCUCUCUGCUACCACUCAACUCAGCCAGGUCCUCGGGGAUCCCAGAGUCCCUGGAGCUGAAGAGGAACUUCCCCUGACAUGUGGGAAGCAAAGAGCAGAUUGGGGUAACAGAGGCCACUCAGAGAAGCUAGAGGAGCUCAACAGCCCAUCCAGUCAGGUGCAUCUCAUGAGGGCAUCCCAGAACAUCAAAUUUCCCGCCUGCAAAAUGGUCUUGCUUAUGCCCAAACACUCAGAAUAUAAGAAGCACGGAUUAUGGGUACGAUACUUAGGGGUGUGAGCAGGCUUUGGGAAAUGUGAACUCUUUCCAGAUGGAAGACAUUCCAGUGAGUUUUCUUUGCCCCUGGGGGGUGGGAGAGGGUGAGUGGGUCUGAGUAUGUAAGUCACAGGUCUCCAGGUCUAACCAACCAGUGGCGGGGUGAGUAGUUUGGUGGGAAGGACAGUUAGGAACAGGUAACUAAAGGUGAGUUAGGUCAGAGCAGGUGACCAGGGGUGAUUCAGGUCAAAGCAGGUGACUGGGAUGAGUCAGGAUGCAGAGCAGGUAACCAGGGGAACAGAUGUGAACUGCUGAUUAAAACUGGGGGGAAAUGUUGUUUACUGAAACUACGGGGAAGUUAAACUUUAAAAUGGAGGACAAAGAACUGAACAUAUUGACAUAUUGAUUCUUUGAAGAGAAAUUUUGAACUCAUUGUAUCCAACAGGAGGAUCACGUGAGCCCAGCAGUUUAAGGCCAGCCUAGGCAACAUAGAAAGACUCUGUCUUAUUUUUAAAAAUAAAAUAAAAUAAAAAUGACAGAAAUGUAUUCUCUCAUAGUUUUGGAGGUUAGAAGUCUGAAGCCAAGGGUUGGCAAGGUCACUCUCCCUCUGAAGGCUCCAGGGAAGAAUAUUUCUUUGCCUCUUGCAUCUUCCAGUAGCCCCAGGCCUUUUCUGGCUUCCGGCAGCAUAACUCUAGUCUCUGCCUCACAACGUUUUUCUCUUUGUCUCUGCGACCUCUUGUCUUCUUAUAAGGACACCAGUCAUCCAGUGGACACAAAUUUUGUGGGGGCAUGAUUUAACUUCAACCUCCAACCCCCUGCCGCAGGUCACCCUUUGGCCCUUAUGGCCUCCAAGUCUUGCGGCUGGAGCUCACUUCUCAGCCUGGGGUCAUCUGUGUCUACUUUCCAUAGCACCAGGAUUCACCUCUGCUGGUGGUUCCCAGGUUCUCUCUCCAGCUGUGACCUCUCUCCCACACUCCAGACCUGAAAAUCUCACAGCCUCUUGAUCACCGACCCAAGGAUGUACCACAGUUCACUCAGAUUCAACACAAGCCAAAGGGAGCCCGCUAUGGGCCCCCAUCUAGCGGAAGGGCUGCUUCCCUUAGCCAGAGUGUACCUCACUCCUCAGCUAGAAAUCUGGGCUUUGUCCUCCAUUUUGAACUUCUCCAUCACCUCCCUCAUCAAUGGGCCACCAAGUCAUUCACACUGGAGGUGGUAGAGAAAGCCAACUGUGUGCCAACAGCUUUUUUUUUUUUUUUUGAAAUCCUUCCUGUUCUACCCCCAGAAUGUCUCAUGCACACAGCCCCUCCCUUCUUCCCUCUCUCCCAGGUCACUGUCAGGUUCCAGCCCCUCACUAGUUCUCUCCAGAGCCAGCAUAACAGCCUGGUGGCCUCCCUGCUGUGGUCUCAUUUUCUCUAAUCCAUUGACCACAUGACCCCACAAGCUCCUUCUUUUUUCUUUUUUUUGGAGACAGUCUCGCUCUAUCCCCUAGGCUGGAGUGCAAUGGCAUGAUCUUGGCUCACUGCAACCUCUGCCUCCUGGGUUCAAGUGAUUCUCAUGCCUCAGCCUCCUGAGUAGCAAGGACUAUAGGCAUGCGCUACCAUGCCUGGCUAAUUUUUGUAUUUUUAGUAGAGACGGGGUUUCACCAUGUUAGCCAGGCUAGUCUCGAACUCCUGACCUCAGGUGAUCCACCUGCCUUGGCCUCCCAAAGUGCUGGGAUUACAGGCAUUUGCCACCACACUUGGCCACCACAGAGUCCCUUCCAAUGUGCUCUCCUGAGCCUGAUGCCCACUGUGUAAUCCCAUUUGCGGCAGCCCAUAUAUGCAGGAUAAAGUCCAAGCUCCCUAGUGUUAUGGGAUCUUUGGGGUGUCAAUUUUUUGGCUGGAAACAUCUGUGGCCACAGCACCUUUGCCCAAGUUCUUGUCCUGUGUCCAGGAAGAAUGAGGUAUGCAGACAAGCAAAGAGCGAACAAGAUGAAGAAGAGUUUUAUUUAGUGUUACAACAGCUCAGAGACUGGCAGUGUGUAGCUCCUCUCUGCAGGCAGGUCAUCUGUCCAGUGUUCAGUUCUCAGCAGAGAGGAGGCCUCGGAGAGGGUGGCUCCUCCCUGCCAGCAGGUUGUCUCUGUAGCUCUCAGUGGAGAAGGUAGCUCCUCUCUGCUGCUAGUCAUCCCAUCAUCUCCAGCUAUCAGCAGAGAGUACUCCUCUCUGCAGCUGGUUGUGCCAUUGUCUCUCUGCUCUCCUCAUCCUCUGGCCAUCCUCUGAUCUGCUCUGGCUGAGCCUAGGGCUUUUAUGGACCUUUUAUCAGGGAGGAAGUCCAUGCCAAUUGGUCCACGGGCAGCCAUGGGUGGGCUGGAAGAGGCACCAUGAGUCCCCACUCCAGUCCAUGGGACUGGCAGCCUGGCCCGCAGCCUUCAGGCCUUCCCUGACCUGAAAGUGGGGUCUUACUGGGGACCUGCCCCCUUCUGCCCAGGACUCUGUCUGCCUCCCGCUGCCAUUCAAGGCCCCAGGGCUUGGCCCCAACCCCGCUCUGAGAUGGGAGCAGGUGCCAGGAGCAGAUAGAGGCCAGGCAGCGGGAGCAGACACCCCUGAGCCUGCAGGCCACCACUGGGCCCUUCGUCCCACCAGCAGAGGGAGAGCUGACCUUCUUCUCUUACAUUCUCAGCACCUGUGAGGUGGAAGGGGAUGCUUUUAUGAUCACUUCCUGAAAGAGAGGCUCACAGAACUGAACUGAUGUGCUUGUCAUCACACAGUGGAGGACUGUCUAACACCAAGUCUCUCAUUCCCUUGGUGGCCAGCCCCUCUCAGACCUCAGCAAGUCCCUCUGGGCCUUCAUGGGAGAGCAGUGUCCAAGGAAUGCGGUGUCACGCUUGCGGCUCUGCCAAGGGCUUCUUCUUCGGGCUCUGCCUCUAGCUGCUUCUGACAGAGGCGGAUUCAUCAUGAAGCAAACGCGGCUGAACCCCCCAGUGGUCUUCAUUCUUCUCCAACCCCUUUCAAGACCCAGGGAUGGGCUCAGCAAUUCUGUUUUAAUAAUUUUGCAUUCUGUCCCUUAAAUCAUAAAGAGAGCCCCCAAUCUGUAAAGCUUCUGAUCCCACACAACCUCUCAGGGCUCCAGGGUCCUGAGGAGGAUGGCCAGGUCACUGUGGGCCUGUGGUGGAGCCAGCGGGCACCCAGGGCUUCCUGGUGGGCCAGGUCCCUGGUCAUAGACUGAGCCAGCCAGCAUCAGCCUCCGAUCUCCAGGCCCCUGCGGUGAGGGCCCCAAUGCCCCUGAUAAGGCUCUGCUCCUAAAGGGCUGUUGGCCUUGAACAAGCUGCUCUCCUGCCUCAGUUUCCACUUCAGGAUGGAGACAUGAAUGAGAGAAGUGUCCCUGAAACUCCUGAUGGCUUUCCAUUUCCUGGUUUCCUGUCUUUCCUGAGGCUGAAUUCUUCGCCUGCUUUCUCUGAGAUCCCUCACUUUCCUGCCAAGAAAUUUCCUCUUUAGUCUGUUCAGAGUGAAGUGCAAAUCAAAAUAAAAAAGUGCAAGUUCAAAGUGCAAUCAAAACAAACAAACAAACUUUGGCUAAGGCAAAACCAAACCAAAACAAAACAACCCAACUAUCUCUUUUAGUAGAGUUUUGACGCUGCAGCAUGUGUUGAAUAGAGCCCAUGUGAGUUAGGCUGCCCAGGGCCUGAGUGACAUUGCGUACUGUGGGGAGUGUGUGCUUUUGUUCAAGCGGUGGCUCUCAGGAAGCCAGGAGGAGAUUUGGACAAAAGUUGGAAAGGUUGGAAGAAUAUGUAAGCUUGGACUGACAUGGCUGAUUGGGUUUGGGCCAGUUUGAGCUGGUUUUAUCUGGUUGGAUCCAAUACAGUACGGACUCGGGAGGCCAAGGAAGGUCUUGGCAAGUUUGGACCAGUUUUUGCCAUUUGAGCUGACUUGGGCUGGCUUGAGCUGGUUGCUCAUCACAGUGGCAAAAAAGAAGAACCCUUGGGCAGGGGUGUUCAGGGUCAGGAGUGGAGGAAGGGAAGCUAUGCUCAUUGUUCGUGGCACUUGGUAGAGCUGUGCAUCUUUACAAAAGCAAUUUACAGUACAGGCACCCCUCAUUUUCUUGCACUUGCUUUGUUGCACCUGCAGAUAUUUGUUGUGUUUUUGUUUUGUUUUGUUUUGUUUUACAAAUUGAAUAUUUUGGCAAAAGUUUGUGGCAACCCCUUGUUGAGCAAGUGUACUGACACCUUUUUCCCUAAAGCAUGUGCUCACUUUGUGUCUCUGUGUCAUGUUUUGGUAAUUUUUACAAUAUUUCAAACUCACUCUUUUCUUUCUUUUUUUCUGUCUCUCUUUCUUUCUUUUCCUUCCUUCCUUCCUCCUUUCUCCUUUCCUUUCCUUUCCUUUCCUUUCCUUUCCUUUCCUUUCCCUUUCGGGUCUAGCUUUGUUACCCAGGCUGCAGUAUGGUGAUGCAAUCUUGGCUCACCCCAACCUCUGCCCAGGUUCAACUGAUUCUCGUGUCUUUGCCUCCCAAGUAGCUGGGACAACAGGUGCAAGGCACCACGCCCAGGUAAUUUUUUUUUUUUUUUUGUAUUUUUAUUAGAGAUGGGGUUUCGCCAUGUUGGCCAGGCUGGUCUCGAACUCCUGACCUCAAGCGAUCUGCCCAUUUCAGUCUCCCAAAGUGCUGGGAUUACAGGUGUGCGCCACCACACCCAGCCCAAACUUUUUCAUUUCUACUGUAUCUGUUAUGGUGAUCUGUGAUCACUCAUGUUUGAUGUUUCUAUUGUAAUUGUUUUGGGGUGCCACAAAUUGCACCCAUAUAAGACAGAGAACUUAAGAAAUAUUGCAUGUGUUCUAACUACUACAUCAAUCAGUGGUUCCUCUACUCCUCUCUCCUUCUCCUCAGGCCUCUCAAUUCCCUGAGACCCAACAAUAUUAAAAUUAGGCCAAUGAAUAACCCUAAAAUGGUCUCUACAUGUUUAAGUGAAAAUGUCACACAUCCCUUGCUCUAAAUCAAAAGCUAGAAAUAUUAAACUUAGUGAGGUAAGUGUAUUGAAAGCCAAAAUAGGCCGAAAGGUAGGCCUCUUAUACCUAACAGCGUAGUUGUGACUGCAAAGGAAAAGUUAUCCUCAGCCUUUCAUGUGUAUUGGCUUAUUCAGUCCUCAUAACAACCCUACCAAGUAGCAUGUGUUAGCCUCACCAUUUGGCAGAGGAAAAUGGAAGCACAGAAAGGUCAAGUACUUGCCCAGAUCAGCAGCAGAACAGGCUCAAAGGUUGGCAGUCUGGUUGCAGAGUCCAUGAACUUCACUACCACACUCCACAGCAGUUGUGAGACCAUGGGCAAGCCAUCUAAACUUUUGAACUUUAAUAUCUUCAUCCAUAAAAUGGGGACGAUAAUACCCUGCCCCAUUGCCCAGUGAGUGUGUACACCCUUAACUCGGUGCAUAGGCUUGGGUUGGCUUGAUCCGGUCUCAUUCAUUUCUCCCCACCUGACCCUACACUUGAGUCAGAGUAUCUCAUGUUGGCUGAGCUUGAAGUAUGCAGGAGCACACCCCAGAAAGGCCAGGGCACAAGCCCUGCUUGGGGUGGAGCAGGGAGGGCCUGCUCUGCCCCACUGGGGUGUUCUUAGGUGGAAGUGGGUGUGGGAUGGUCCCUCUGGGAGAACUCUCUCCCUCCAGCCUCCCUGCAGAGUCACCCAGGGAACUGAAUCACAGCACAAGUGAAAUGGGAAAAGUUCCCUUAUCCCCCUCGCAGGGCCUGCAAUGGGGGUGUGGCUCGCUUCUUUGGUACCCUGCUGCUCAAACCUCUAGGGGGAGCAUGCAGAUGGGCAGGUUGUGGGGCUUCAACCCCACGGCAGUGUCUAGGGGUGAAUGCUUACAGUUCCUGAAGCCCCAAUGGGUGUGUGUUACAGAGCGCUCUUUUAGUUUUGCUAUCUGUAGGCAGCUUGUGUUAAUCAGCUCGAUUAGAUCCUCUGCCUUAUCACAAGGACAGAGGGCUUUCUGUAUCCCAGGGUUUUUGCCUUGGUGUACUGGAGGAAUCAGAUCACACGUGGGCUUAGGGACCGAGUGCAAGUUUUUAUUGAGUGGAAGUAGCUCUCAGCAGAUGGGGGAGCCAGAAGGGAGAUGGAGUGGGAAGGUGAACUAUCAAGAUAAAAUCAGUCUACUACUCCAUAACAGAGGUAAGGAAGAGUAUGCAUGGAAUACAGGACAUCCUUUAGAGCAUCUCUUAGUAUUACCAUGCCCUUUGAUUAAGGUCAAUGGGAAACUACAAUAGCGCAAUCCAGGCAGGACUACAAAUAGCCCAGACCCCUCAGGAAUGAAGGUUUGGGUCACUCCACCAGGAAAAAAACCACAACCUGCUGAGGUGCUUGCUGAAGGCAAAGGGAAUACAGAAUGGGUAGUAGAAGAAGGUAAUCAUCAAUACCACCUAUGACCAUGUGACCAGCUGCAGAAAUGCGGACUGUAACUAUCAUGAGUAUUUCCUCCUUCUUUGGCUAAAAACAUGUUUGUGCAUGUAUACACUUGUACGAAGAAAAUAUAUCCAUUUUAUUUCCUUUUCCUUUAUCAUGUGACAUAAGAUUUACUGACUUCAUAUCAACAUUUAAGUAUUAUUAACUUUAUGUAAUAAUAUUUGGGUUGGGGAUUGGUGGGUUUCCAGUUGUACCAAGGAUAGUUGUAUUAUUUUAGGCAUAAUUAUGACCUUAUUAUUGUCUUUAUUUGAAGAUUAUGUAUGAUCUCAGGAGAUGUGUAUGGGUUCAGCUUGACAAGGGGUGGACUUACCAUGGUUAAUACUGAGUGUCAACUUGAUUGGAUUAAAGAUGCAAAGUAUUGAUCCUGGGUGUGUCUGUGAGGGUGUUGCCAAAGAAGAUUAACAUUUGGGUCAGCGGGCUGGAGAAGGCAGACCCACCCUUAAUCUGGUGGGCACCAUCUAAUCAGCUGCCAGCGAAUAUACAGCAGGAAGAAAAAGGUGAAAAGGCAAGACUGGCCUAGCCUCCCAGCCUACAUCUUUCUCCCAUGCUGGAUGCUUCCUGCCCUUGAACAUCAGACUCCAAGUUCUUCAGUUUUGAGACUUGGACUGGCUCUCCUUGCUCCUCAAGCUUGCAGACAGCCUAUUGUGGGACCUUGUGAUCAUGUUUUAGCACCUCUUACGAAUGAGUGUCUGAGCAGCCAAAAAAUAAAUAAUGAAUCAUCCAGGCAAAGGGGAAGAAAAAUGGACUUGGCCAGAGAUGGGGAAGAACGUACGCAAAAAGAUGAGGUCGUUCAGAUUGGAAGUUGGAUUGGAGGGCGGACCAAAGGAGAAGCUGCUGAAGUAGAUGUUAAAGAUGGAGAGAAGUGGACGGCAGAGACAUAGAGGAGGAAAAGUCAGCAAGACCCGAGAUGUGUAUGGAGAGUUAGAGUGUGGGAAGUGUGACAUGUAACUGAAUCGGAUGAUGGCAACUUUCACUGGGCAGUGAAAGUUGAGAACAACAAGCAAUAACAACCAUACGAAGAAUCUAGCAAACUCAGACUUUACUUCUCCUUUUCGUGGUCCUGGAAACAGCUCAGAAUAAAGUGGAUCUGGACCUCUACAGAAGAGAGGGAGCUCCAGAUUCCAGUCCAUUACACACAUGAAGUAUGCUUGCGGCCCACACCACUGCGCAAUUCUUCAAGACUAUGUUGUAUAUUCUUCACUUACAUAGAAGACAUCUCAGUUUCCAGGACCAGUUCAGGAUGUAAAAGUGUGAGUCACUUACCAGUGGCACAGGUCAGAGUAUCUCCUUCAAAUCCUGGUAACCCAAGAAGAAAAGGGGUCCUCAUCCAGGCAAGCUGAUUUUCCUAGCAUGGUCCCAAUUGAUAGUGAUACUGUGAAGAGACACAUUUUGUGCUGUUUUGCUGGCAGUGAUACUAUACCUACAAAAAGAAGCUCGGUAGUUGUUGUGGUUGUCCGCUGGUAUAGCAGCUUUUGUGCAGGGGGAAUGAUGGGAUGAGCUGUCAAGAACAUCUGGUGUAUAAGGAUCCGGUGUUUUCCAUGGGUGAUGCAAAUGGCCUUGGGAACUGGUGAUUUAGCUGUUGGACUAUCUGAAAAGGUAGGCUUCACCUGUGAAGACUUUACAGGUGCUUGUUGGGAUUAGUUUUAGGAGGCCGGUGUCCUGGUGGUCAAGCUGCUAGAUGUUAGGACUCCUGCUGGGAUCUCAGAAGUUGUUAUCCUAUGACCAAUUUUAUAUAAACCUUGGAGGAUCGCUCCUUCUUUCUUACCUCACACUCAGCUGCCUCACCCAGCUAGCCCUCAGCUCAGCAGCCCUACCCCGACCAUUGCAAGGCCACUCUGCCCCACUCCCCUGCCUGAUUUCACGGUAUUUUACAAAAGUAUUAGCUGAGACAGAUGGAAAUUAUUUCAUUUUUUUAAGAAGUCAUUAUAGAAAAGGAAAGUGAAGCACUGACGGGUUAAAUCACUUGCCCAAGUUCAGGAAGACAGUAAUGCUGUCGUUCACCUAACCUCUGAUUUAACAAAUGUUUAUGAAGAGACUUGUAUGCCAGACACCAAGCUCCAUGCAGGAACUACUGUGUAAAAAGAAAAAAUUAUAUGGAUGUAUAAUCAAUGGAUUUUUUUUUCUUUUUUUUGAGACAGGGUCUCCUUCUGUCACCCAGGCUGGAGUGCAGUGGCACAAUCACAGCUCACUGCAGCCUUGACCUCCUGGGCUCAAGAGAUCCUCCCACCUCAGCCUCUCUAGUAGCUGGGACUACAGGCAUGUGACACCACUCCUAGCUAAUCUUUUUUAUUUUUCAUGGAGAUGGCGUUUCACCUUGUUGCCCAGGCUGGUCUCGAACUCCUGGGCUCAAGCAAUCUGCCCACCUCAGCCUUCCAGAGUGCUGGAAUUACAGGAAUGAGCCACCAUGCCCAGCCUACAGUCAAUGAAAUAUUAUUCAUUAUAAAAAAGAAGGAAGCCCUGUCAUUUGCGACAACAUAGAACCUUGAGGCCAUUAUGCUAAGUGAAAUAUGUCAGACAGAGAAAGACAAGUACUAUAUAAUCUCACUUCUAUGUGAGAAACAUACAGUGAUUCUCACAUUAUCUGUGGAAUCUACAUUCUAUACCUUAAAUUUAUAUAAUUCUAUUUGUCAUGUAUACCUCAAUAAAGUUGGGAAAAUUAUGUACAAUUAAAUGACUUUUAGUAUCUUCACAGAGUUGUGCAAUCAUCACCACACUCUAAUGUUUGAUGUUUUUGUCACCCUAGGAAAGAAAUCUUAUACCCAUUUUCUCUCCUCAUUUCUUU